GCUGCGGCAGCCUCGGGGCUGUGCCCAUUCCCUGGGGAGAUGCCAAAGCUGCUGCUGGUGUAUCUGAGCGCUGGACAGAGCAGAGAGAUGCAGGAAACAAGUGAAAGCUCAGAGUCAUUGAAGAUGAUCGGCAUCUUUCCACAUGAAAUAACCUGGGAACAUGCUUAUCUCAUCUAGGAUACCUGCACCACAUCAUUCAACUAAAAGUUCUUCAGUACAAGAAGCCAGGCAAAUUAAACAAUGCACUGAUAAUAUCAAAGCCUCUUAAAA